GGGGAUGUAGCUCAACGGCAGAGCGCCCGCUUUGCACGCGGGAGGUUAGGGGUUCAAAUCCCCUCAUCUCCA
rnacentral:tRNA from 1 species